GUGGUGUACUGUACUGCUAAGGCCAGCCAGGUCUUCUGAGUUUACCUAAACAGUAUCAGAAUCAGUGAUUUAGUUUUCAAUAUAAUUAUCAUAAAUAUUUAUAAAGUAAAACAGUAUUUGUCAGGUCGACAUUUUGAAUAAUAUUGCGGCCCGGUGUGUUGCCAGGUUUAAAGAAUCCAGGCUUUUGAAAUCAGUUGUGAAUGGCAACGCGAUUGCUUCUUUAACCAAUCAGAUUUUGAGUUGGCAUAUUGAGGCCUUCUACCUGGCCGGUAGUUACGUUUGCGAUAUGUGAUUUGAUUGGAUGGUAAGAGAACAUGCAGUCUCGAAUGUAGCAAUUUACAGCUAGCAACUUGCACGCUAGAAACAGUUUUCUCUGCGUCCUCUGCUUCUGCCGUGCGGACUUCCUCAGCCUCAAGUCAUUUAAAACUGAAAACCUUAAAUACGACAGGACAGACUGGACUGUUAUCGCUAGCACGGAUGGACUAUAGAAAACACUUGUUGGAACUUCAACACGUCGAUAAUCAGUACAACAGAGUAAUAAACUCUCCCUAAGGAAAGAGAGGAGGAUGGAUUUGGAUUAAAACUGGUCAGACUUUUUGAUGAAAAUUGGCAAUCCCAUAAUAAUCCACUUAGAGGCGUGCAGGCAGCUGAGAGCAGACUCAGCAGCACUUUUCACUUCAGAGGCUGCAGACACCUCAGGCUUCCUCUUCUCCAUCACCAUCAUCAUCAUCAUCAUCAUCAUCAUCAUCGUCCUCAUCAUCAUCGUCACUUCUUCACUCGGGCGGCGCUCGCUGUGAUGGUGCAGGCCACGCUCAUGAAUCCACGCUCAGAAGGAGAAGCUGCGGACGUUUGAUGUCAGUUUGUCACAGCGCCUCAGGAAACAGCUGACGAGGAGUGAGCAGAGAGGGAAAAUCUUCCGGAAUUUCAACAGUAAGUUUCAUGCAGCGACCUGAGAAAACAUUCCCAUUCCGUCAGUCGGAAACACAACGGCAUAGUCUCGCUGUAAUCUUCAGGAUCAGACACAGGUGGAGCUGCAGGAAUCUGCCCACGUUUGGGAGGAAAAGAGUGAAGGUGGGAAAUGAUUUCUUUCCUACACCACUGGUUGUCUGAACCUAGUGUCUUCACUGCACUGGUUUUCAUGGGUUCCUUGGAACUCUGCGAAGUCAUCAGUGACACACAGUGAAGAUCAGAGCGUUAAACUCUCUCGGUUUUAAGAUUGGCAGCCUCCAAAAUGACAACUGCCAGGAAAAUUACACGAGAAGCAGAGUAAAAAUAAAAAAAACAUCAGGUAGAAUGAAUAUGACUCUCAAAGUUCAAAAGUCAAUAAAAACAAUGUGAAUUUGUUCUGUUUUAAUGAAAUGACUAACAUAUUACCAUAUACUUGGAGGUCAGAGGUCACUUCUGAUUCUGGAGCUGAAGGAGCUGAGCCUCUGUCUGUCUGUGGUUUUAGGUUCAAAUCCAUAAUUUAUUCAGUCCAGCCGAAGUUACCUGACCAUCUGGCCAAUUUACUUUACAUGCUUUAGUCGUCAUGACAACAAAGAUUUAUAUGCUCACUUUUUACACAAUUGAAUUAUACAAUUUUAAAUCCAACAAAAACUAUUUUCCUAAAAAUAAUAUAGUUUGGUUUGUUUUGUUGAACAUUAAACGUUUACAUGCCUCUCCAAUGACAUGAAGGUGGCAGUAGUGAGCAUCUAAGACUCCAUAGAAGAAGAAGAAGAAUAACAGUAUGACCCCUUAUUAGGGGUCAACUUUAUUUUUUCACAGAAUACCCUUCCUCACAUAAUCCAACCUAGAAGGAGGACUGGGCAGCGUUGAACCCAGAACCUUCUGGUGACAAUACAAGAUCAAAGUACCUUUUCAGAUUUGAACAGUCAAAUGUCAAAGCAGAUGACGUACUUUUCACGUACUUUAACAUUUUCACUUCUACAGUAAUGAGAGACGGUUGGUAAUCAGGCCUUAUAUCAAGAAGGACAUGGGUUUGAUCCCCCAUUCUUGUGUGUGAGUGAUUUGGCAUUGUUUUCUUAUGGGGAUUUUUGAGAGGGGUCAGGUUUUUCAGUAACACAGAGUGUACUUAAAGGGUUUAAGAUUUCUAGUCUUGG